rnacentral:rRNA from 1 species
ACCACAUUGAAACAUUGGUUCUCGUACGAUCACCAAAAUUAAGCAACGUCGAGCCUAGUCAGUACCUAAAUAGGUGACCUCUUGGGAAUACCCGGUGCUGUAA